rnacentral:rRNA from 1 species
UCGGGAAUUUUGGGCAAUGGGCGAAAGCCUGACCCAGCAACGCCGCGUGAGGGAUGAAGUAUUUCGGUAUGUAAACCUCGAAAGAAUGGGAAGAAUAAAUGACGGUACCAUUUAUAAGCUCCGGCUAACUACGUGCCAGCAGCCGCGGUAAUACGUAGGGGCCGAGCGUUGUCCGGAGUUACUGGGCGUAAAGCGCGCGCAGGCGGCUCGUCAAGCCUGACGUGAAAGCCCCCGGCUCAACCGGGGAGGGUCGUCGGGGACUGGCGGGCUUGAGGUCGGCAGGGNUUGGUGGAAUUCCCGGUGUAGUGGUGAGAUGCGUAGAGAUCGGGAGGAACACCCGUGGCGAAGGCGGCCAACUGGGCCGGACCUGACGCUGAGGCGCGAAGGCGUGGGGAGCGAACG